AUGCUAUCCCUGGGGAUGAGGAAGGCCUGGAGCUGGCAUGGCCAGGGUGUGUUGGUGGCCAGGGACAGCCCUGGGAGUGUCCCCAGCUCCUGGAGCCCCUCGGGCUCCGUGCAGGGGGGCUCCUGGCUGGAACAUGGGGAUGAGGAAGGCCUGGAGCUGGCAUGGCCAGGGUGUGUUGGUGGCCAGGGACAGCCCUGGGAGUGUCCCCAGCUCCCAGCCCUGCUCAUGUGUGCUCUGCUCCCCUCUCCAGAACAGCCUGGGGCUGAUCUACACCAUCUACGUGGACGGGCUGAGCGUGUCCCUGGAGAACGUCAUCGGGAACCUGCUGACCUGCACCAUCCCCAUCACGGGGGGAGCUCAGAGCUCCUGAGCACAAAUGCCAUCAGAUCCUCGAUUAGCCACCAGCUGCUGCGGUGGUUCCGUGCCCUGGCUCCUGCUGCCUUGGGACAGACAGGUGUGGUCAGUCCAUGCAAGCAUUCCCUGCUCCGAGGGCACUCCUGGGGUCUGGCUCUGUGCUCAGCCCUGUGGGAUCACCCUGUGGAGAGCUGCUCCAGAGCCCAGCGCUGGCACAGCCGUGGGGACACGGGCCAGCAGGGCCAGCAGGGCCAGCAGGGCCAGGACAGCAGCCUGGAGCUCUCCUCGGGGCACUGGCCUGGUGCUGUGUCUGUGCCAGGUUCUGUGUCUGUGUUUGUGCCAGGUCCUGUGUGUGUGACUGUGCCAGGUCCUGUGUGUGACUGUGCCAGGUCCUGUGUCUGUGACUGUGCCAGGUCCUGUGCCUGUGUCUGUGCCAGGUCCUGUGUGUGUGACUGUGCUGUGUCCUGUGUGUGUGUCUGUGCCAGGUCCUGUGUCUGUGUUUGUCCCAGUUUGUCCCAGCUGGGUCCUGUGUCCAUCUCUGUGCCUGUGUCCAUGUCUGUGCCAGGUCCUGUGUCCAUGUCUGUGUUCAUCUCUGUGCCUGUGUCCAUGUCUGUGUCUGUGACUGUGCCAGGUCCUGUGCCCAUCCCUGGGGCCCUGAGGAGCAGCAUCAGCUUCUCCUGGAGCUGAGGCCGCCCUGCUGUCCCCCCAGAGCCGUGUGUCCCCCCCAGAUCCGUGUGUCCCCCCAGAGCCGUGUGUCCCCCCAGAGCCGUGUGUCCCCCCAGGGCCGUGUGUCUCCCCCAGAUCCGUGUGUCCCCCCAGAGCCG
rnacentral:lncRNA from 1 species